rnacentral:tRNA from 1 species
AGAAAGUUCGUCUAACUAAGACAUCUGAUUUCGACUCAGCAAAUCAUAGCCCUCACCUAUGACUUUCUU